AAUCCAAACCGCAGCGAAAUGUUGAAGGUGACAGGGAUGCCAAGGAACGCGACGUGAAAAGCAAACUCACCGCAGUGGAACGGGAGAGUCUUUCAGAACAAUAUCGACUGCGUGGUAAUGACUAUUUUCGCGCUAAGGAAUAUGAUAACGCUAUUAACGAGUAUAAUCUCUCCAUUACCAUUUGUCCAGAGAAAGCGGCGCCAGCGUACAACAAUCGUGCCGCGGCGAAAAUAAAACUUAAAUGGUAUUCCGACGCUAUCAAAGAUUGUGAACAAUGCCUUCAGUUGGAGCCAGAUAACCUGAAGGCCAGAUUAAGGCUAGCAGAAGCCACUUAUUGUGACGGA